rnacentral:tRNA from 1 species
GUUUUAAUAAUUUAAUUAAAAAUACUGGUCUUGUAAACCAGAAAUAAAGCCCCCCCCCUUUUUAAAACA